rnacentral:lncRNA from 1 species
CGCCAUGUUGGUUCCAACAUUAGUACUUUUUUUCAUUGUUUUCUUUCAUUCGGAUUUAUAUAAAUAUUUAGUGUAGGAUUUUAGUAUAGAAUAAUUUCUCUGGUUGUAAACAAAAACACGUACACACCAAUAUUAUACAGUAAAUAGUCGUUAACGUGGGUCAAGGCCCAGCUUCCAUGGACUGAGUUUAAGAGCCAUUACAGUUUACCCACAUGAUCAAGUUAACC